rnacentral:lncRNA from 1 species
UUAAAUUACAUGAAUAGUACUAAUAAUUAUUUAUAUGCGUUCAUACACGCUCAACAACAUUGGAACAUAGACCAAAUACUUGAUAUCUUGUUAAUAUAAAGAACUAAAGUAUCAUAUUUGAAAGCAAAACAAAUAAAAUCACAUAAAAGAUGUACUAGUAGUUUAAAAGAGGUCAAAGGGGAACAGAUUAAGUAUGAUCAUUCCUCGAGCUCCUUAGCCUUCAAUGUUUCCUUCACUCUUAGAAGUGUUGUCCUCCAAGCAUCAUGUGGAAUGAAGAUAUUUAAGUAGAUUGUAUAAAAUCGAUGUAAAAUUACAACAUAGUAAUAUAUAUGUGCUCAAGUCAAUUAAGCAUCCAAGUAUGAAUCCACGAAGCAGUGAUAACAAAAAGAAUUAAAAUGCUUCAGAUAAUUCUUCAUUAGAAUCCUUCAGUUAUAUUGAGAAUUCUAAAAUGCUUCUUUUCAUUUUUGAUAGGUGCUAGCAAAUGUUAUAUAAUUCACUGUUGUCAAAUAAUUAUACAAGUGCCAUCCUGGGAAAAAGAACUAUACAAUAUGGAUUUCCUCGCAAUGAUUAGAUGAUUAGAUGUAGACAAGAGGGGUUGCUCUGAUGGUAAGCAACCCCCACUUCCAAUCGAGAGGUUGUGAGUAUUAAAAUUAUAAUAAUAAUAGAUAUGAACUCAUAACUUUGACAAGAGGGGUUGCUCUGAUGGUAAGCAACCCCAACUUCCAACCGAGAGGUUGUGAGUUCAAGUCUCCCCAAGAGCAAGAUGGGAAGUUCUUGGAGUGAAGGAUGCCGAGGGUCUAUUUGGAAACAGCCUCUCUACCCAAGGAUAGGGGUAAGGUCUGCGUACACACUAUCCUCCCCAGACCCCGCUGAGUGAUUAUACUGGGUUGUUGUUGUUGAUUAGAUAUAUGAUAUGUUAAAUCUCUUGAGGUCUAGAUCAUACAACUGACAAAUUUGAACCAGCAGUUCAGUAGAUAGGCGUCAGAAGUUAUUGCAGUUGCAAGCUAGUGAAAAUCAACAAGCUGCUACUGUGCAUGAAGCUAGUAAAGUUUAGCUAAUAUUCAGUUGUCGUUAAUGGGAUUGACACAG